UCUAUAGUAUUGACCCUUCUUGGUCCUAAGAGCCACAGAUCCCACCCUGGUUUGAYAUCUAUAUCCCCGMCMCCCUAGAGUGAAGAAGCUCCUGGUUGCUCUCGAACCCUCCGCAAGGGGGGCGGUCGUGUGUCUUUUGACCGCGGCUGUAUAGAGAGCGGUGAUGAUCUCGUCCCCGGCUACGGUCUUGCCCUCGGGCGCGUGGUCGGGGCGGGUGUCGGCGGACGUCUGACAGGC
rfam:Colletotrichum higginsianum, IMI 349063, WGS project CACQ02000000 data, contig: cont1.9570